rnacentral:pre_miRNA from 1 species
CAACCCUAGGAGGGGGUGCCAUUCACAUAGACUAUAAUUGAAUGGCGCCACUAGGGUUGUG